CCCUUAGAUGUUCUGGGCCGCACGCGCGCUACAAUGAUGAAUUCAACGAGUUUAUAACCUUGGUUGAAAAGCCUGGGUAAUCUUUUGAACUUUCGUCGUGACGGGGCUAGACCCUUGCAAUUAUUGGUCUCCAACGAGGAAUUCCUAGUAAACGCAAGUCAUCAGCUUGCAUUGAUUACGUCCCUGCCCUUUGUACACACCGCCCGUCGCACCUACCGAUUGAAUGGUCCGGUGAAAUCUUCGGAUUGAGACUUUGAUUUGUUUACUCAAAACGCUGUUUCAAGAAGUUGAUUAAACCUUACCAUUUAGAGGAAGGUGAAGUCGUAACA
rnacentral:rRNA from 1 species